rnacentral:rRNA from 1 species
GCAGCAGCUGCGGUAAUUCCAGCUCCAAUAGCGUAUAUUAAUAUUGCUGCAGUUAAAAAGCUCGUAGUUGAAUUUCGGGUCGGAGGGAGUGGGCCGGCUUCCGCAAGGGGUCGAUCGCCUGUCUACUUCGGUCUUAUUCGGGAUUUUUACUUGGCGUUGCUGGCAUUUAGUUGUCGGUGGCGUCGAGCCCGUCGUUUACUGUGAACAAAUUAGAGUGCUUCAAGCAGGGUUUUAAAAACUUUCUUGAAUAGUUUAGCAUGGAAUAAUAAGAUAGGACUUUGGUGGUUCCUCUUUUCGGAGGGGAUAUUUUGUUGGUUUGCACGCCAAAGUAAUGAUUAAUAGGAGCAGUUGGGGGUAUUCGUAUUCAAUUGUCAGAGGUGAAAUUCUUGGAUUUUUCGAAGACGAACUACUGCGAAAGCAUUUACCAAGGGUGUUUUCUUUAAUCAAGAACGAAAGU